UAUAGCGCAGUCCGGUAGCGCGCCUGCUUUGGGAGCAGGAUGUCAGGAGUUCGAAUCCCCUUA
rnacentral:tRNA from 1 species